AUAAAGUUUUAUUUUGGCUUAUAAAUUUAUUAUUAAUUUAAUUUAUAUGUAAAUUUUUGUGUGAAUUUUUUAUUAUUUUAAAAAUGAUAAAAUUUUAUUUAAUCGCAGUAAUUAAUUUUAUUAAUUAAGGAAACUUAGAAAUAGUAAUAUUAAAGAGUAUUGACAAAAUUUGUGCCAGCAGUUGCGGUUAUACGAAUAAUGCAAAUAAAUUUUUAUUAGUAAAAGUUAAAUUGAAAUAAAAUAAUUUUAUAUGUAAAUUUAUUAGGUGAAAUUUUAAAUUUAUUUAAAUUUUAUUUUUAAUAAUUGAAGCUUGUAAAUUUUAGUAGUAAACUAGGAUUAGAUACCCUAUUAUUUAAAAUGUAAAUAUUUAAUACUAAGGUAGUAAUAGUUAUGAUCUUGAAACUUAAAAAAUUUGGCGGUAUUUUAGUCUAUUCAGAGGAACCUGUUCUGUAAUCGAUAUUCCACGUUGGACCUAACUUAGAUUUGUAUUCAGUUUAUAUACCGUCGUUAUUAGAAUAUUUUAUAAGAAUGAUAAUUUUCAAGGUUUAUUAUUAUAAAAAAUAUCAGAUCAAGGUGUAGCUUAUAUUUAAGUAGAAAUGGGUUACAAUAAAAUUAUUUAGAUGGAUAUAAAUUUGAAAUUUUUUAUUGAAAGUGGAUUUGAUAGUAAAAUUAUAAAGAUAAAUAAUUUGAUUUUAGCUCUAAAAUAUGUACACAUCGCCCGUCACUCUUAUUAUUAAGGUAAGAUAAGUCGUAACAUAGUAGAUGUACUGGAAAGUGUAUCUAGAAUG
rnacentral:ncRNA from 1 species